UUGCUCUGGAGGGAGUAAGGCAAAUGAGUAAAGAACACUUGCAUGCUGCUUCCAUAAUGCCCUAAAUAUAAAUGUUUUAAAAUAAAAUGAUACUUAAUGCCACCGUUUCUAUUACAGUCCAGUCAUGGGCGACUCACCUCAAUGAUCCCAUCUGGCUCCAUGCCCUCUGGGCCAUUGUCUCUGAGAACGGCAAGACAAUAAAAUCAAUGUGCAAAUUCCUCGCAAGCGUGCUUUUACACCACAUCCGAGAACAAUUGAACAUUCAUCGACCAAACGGGUUGCUCACACAAAUGUUGGCCUUUAGUCUCCAAUUCUGCAUCGCCACGGACACCAUGACACGCAAAGGCUUCUGCGGAAGUCCGCCAUUUCUACAACAGGCAUUCAAGAUGGUCGUUUCUCCAAUCAGGGCUGAGAAGUCUGAAACUAAUCGAUGGGAAUAAGUCAACUACCUGGGACACAAUAUGCGAUUAAUAUGAUUUGAAGUAAUCAAAUGCGAAUGGUGGAUUUUACUCGUUUCCAGAGCCAAAUUUGCUAUAGUAAGAUAAGCUCAGGCGGUGGGUUGUAGCCACAGCCAACAGGCCCCGCGUGUCUUUUAUGGCAUCUAAUUCGAUUUGUCAAGUGAAUUAAACCCAUCAAUAAUGUGUACACCGGGAGAAGUCUAGUACUUUCUUCCUGAAUGCACCACGUAUUUCCACCAACAGCAGCGUUAGUGAAAAAGCCUCAAAUAGCGCCUAGCGGCCUACACUACCAGCAGUGGCCAUGCCGCCGAGUAACACUACCACGACCAUGUGCGCUCGUCGUCCAUACUGAAUGAAUAUCUUUAGCUAUACA